rnacentral:rRNA from 1 species
GACGAACGCUGGCGGCGUGCUUAACACAUGCAAGUCGAGCGGUAAGGCCCUUCGGGGUACACGAGCGGCGAACGGGUGAGUAACACGUGGGUGACCUGCCUCUAGCUCUGGGAUAAGCCUGGGAAACUGGGUCUAAUACCGGAUAUGACUCCACGGCGCAUGUUGUGGGGUGGAAAGCCUUGUGUGGCUAGAGAUGGGCCCGCGGCCUAUCAGUCUUGUUGGUGGGGUGAUGGCCUACCAAGGCGACGACGGGUAGCCGGCCUGAGAGGGCGACCGGCCACACUGGGACUGAGACACGGCCCAGACUCCUACGGGAGGCGAGCAGUGGGGAAUCUUGCGCAAUGGGCGAAAGCCUGACGCAGCGACGCCGCGUGAGGGAUGACGGCCU